GUCUGNAACCACUGGAACGGUGGCUAAUACCGGAUGUGCCUAUGGGUAAAAGGCUUGCUGCCUGAAGAUGAGCUCGCGUCUGAUUAGCUAGUAGGUGGGGUAAAGGCUUACCUAGGCGACGAUCAGUAGCUGGUCUGAGAGGAUGAUCAGCCACACUGGGACUGAGACACGGCCCAGACUCCUACGGGAGGCAGCAGUGGGGAAUUUUCCGCAAUGGGCGAAAGCCUGACGGAGCAAUACCGCGUGAGGGAGGAAGGCUCUUGGGUCGUAAACCUCUUUUCUCAGGGAAGAAGAAAGUGACGGUACCUGAGGAAUCAGCAUCGGCUAACUCCGUGCCAGCAGCCGCGGUAAUACGGAGGAUGCAAGCGUUAUCCGGAAUGAUUGGGCGUAAAGCGUCCGCAGGUGGCAGUGUGUGUCUGCUGUUAAAGAGUCUGGCUCAACCAGAUAAGAGCAGUGGAAACUACACAGCUAGAGUACGUUCGGGGCAGAGGGAAUUCCUGGUGUAGCGGUGAAAUGCGUAGAGAUCAGGAAGAACACCGGUGGCGAAAGCGCUCUGCUAGGCCUGUACUGACACUGAGGGACGAAAGCUAGGGGAGCGAAAGGGAUUAGAUACCCCUUGUAGUCAAAA
rnacentral:rRNA from 1 species